UAAGGAAUAUUGGUCAAUGGACGCAAGUCUGAACCAGCCAUGCCGCGUGAAGGAUGAAGGUCCUCUGGAUUGUAAACUUCUUUUAUCUGGGACGAAAACGGGAUUUUUAUCUCAAUUGACGGUACCAGAGGAAUAAGCACCGGCUAACUCCGUGCCAGCGGCCGCGGUAAUACGGAGGGUGCGAGCGUUAUCCGGAUUUACUGGGUUUAAAGGGUGCGUAGGUGGGCUUAUAAGUCAGUGGUGAAAUCUCCGAGCUUAACUUGGAAACUGCCGUUGAUACUAUAGGUCUUGUAUUAUCUGGAGGUAAGCGGAAUAUGUCAUGUAGCGGUGAAAUGCUUAGAUAUGACAUAGAACACCAAUUGCGAAGGCAGCUUACUACACAAUGAUUGACGCUGAUGCACGAAAGCGUGGGGAGCGAACA
rnacentral:rRNA from 1 species